rnacentral:rRNA from 1 species
GUGGAUUAGAUACCCUGGUAGUCCACGCCGUAAACGAUGUUCACUAGGUGUUGGGGGUAUUGACCCCCUCAGUGCCGGAGCUAACGCAUUAAGUGAACCGCCUGGGGAGUACGGUCGCAAGACUAAAACUCAAAGGAAUUGACGGGGGCCCGCACAAGCGGUGGAGCAUGUGGUUUAAUUCGAUGCAACGCGAAGAACCUUACCUGGGCUUGACAUCCCGGGAAUCCCUUGGAAACAGGGGAGUGCCUUUCGGGGAACCCGGAGACAGGUGCUGCAUGGCCGUCGCCAACU